CCAGCUAGGCUGGUUCCGGAAAGCUUUCAGCUUUGAGCCAGUUAUUAAAACCCCUUUUGAUUUGUUAAAACACCUUGCGGUCUGGCAACUGCAAGUGUCAAACAAGAAAUCAAAAG
rnacentral:sRNA from 1 species